AUGUGCAGGAAGAAAUGAAUGUAGUGGUUCACUUGAAUGGUACUCGUCCGCCCAUAUAAAAACCUUUACGUGAUCCUUACCAGUAGGGCACUUGUAGAAAUAUCUGCCAGCGUUACGUGUAUGUUUUUCCGCGCACAACAACACCAUCUUCCCACAACCACAUGGACUAAAGGGUACCCCUUCAAAGUCUUCAUACAUGUCAACCAACUAUAAACCUGCACAAAAUAUAAAUACAUAACAAGAUGAAUCAGACUCCAGUGAGGGACAAGCAUAUGAUGUUUGAGUAAUAAGAGAUGGUCUGUGCAAAAUAUUAGAUAGAAAAUGAUUAAGAUGUGUCUGUACAAGAAAUAUCAAUAUACUCAAAGGGAGAAUUAACUUCAAUGCAGAAUUAUAUAAUAAACAGAACAAGUGUCAUGGCAUCUUUCAAUUCAAUGCAAAUCCCCUCACCUAUGUAAGUUAAAGGCUUGUUCAAUUACUAAAUUCAAACAAGUACAAGGAUCAGAGAGCUGUGUAAUUCUGCCAACGUUUGCCAAUCCAUCCCUAUGAACAUUCCACUCGGAUGAAGAUUCAAUGGUGUCUACACACUCUUGAGGGUGUCAUCAUCGUAUUCGUUUACUACGGGCAGGGUAUCAAAGGCUUGUUCUAUUGGGUCCACUACUAUCUGUGACUGAAUAAAGUUGUUAAUGAGGAAACACACCAUUAUCAAUCUAUUUUGCAUCUUAAUCGAGUAAUAGGUGGUGCUCAUAAGAAUACUCCAUCUCAUCUUCAUGAUUUCGAAUGCCCGCUCAAUUACAUUAUGUGCUUUCGUGUGCCUCAAAUUAAACAACUCCUGCACAUUUUGUGGCUUUGUAGCAGCGGGGCCCCAUUCUUGCAAAUGGUACCUCACUCUCUUAUAUGGAGCUAGAAAUCCCUCACUAUUGGCAUAUCCAUUAUCGCAUAAAUAAUAGUUCCCUACCACAUAAAUAGGAAAGUGGACAAUUCCUCACCCAAGUCUGCACAUACAAAAAGGGUGAGAAAAUAAAAGAAAGGAAUAUCCAUAUUCAAAAUAAUAAUAUAUAUGGGGAAAGAAAACAAGUACCACUUCUGUGGCUAAGCAGAGGUCGUUGGCAAAAGACACUAAGUCCAUCGAAUCAAAUUUCUGAAGGUCAGAUGAAACUAUCUGAGCUUCCAUUUGUGACUGGCAUUCCGCGCCAGUUAGAUCCCGAAGAGAGCACGGGCCAGGAAAUACAGGGAGAGAGGUCCCAGUGUCUUUGACCUGUGCAUCCCCACCAGCCUGCACGGGGCUGGAAAUGAGAAGUUGAAGAGAAUCGUCAUCUCCCGAAGCACCUGGGGUGGUUUUCUUUUUCUUCUUCUUUGAGGCGGUUGAAUNCGGUUGAGGGCAUCUCGUAGUAUUCAUGAAUCUGAUGCGAACCUCCUAGCCGGCCAGUACAUGUACAAAUUUUAAGUCUCUAUCACAUACGGCAAGGGUGUUAGUGGAUAUUUGGUCUUUCCGGGUCCUAUAACGGGCUUAUCGCUGCUCGGAACCGUUACAUUAAUGUAGCUCCCAUCUAAGGCACCUAGACAACCCUACGAGUAACAAUUCAAAAAUCAAGUUAUAACUAAUCAUAAAUACUUCGCAUUCGAACAAGAUCUUGCCAUAUUGCAAAAACUACAUAUCACUGCUACUUGCGUGCAUAUUAAAUGAUGGUUUUAUAACUAUUUUUUACCUUGAACCAUCUCCAAUGGGGAUCGGUGCAACCAUCAGGAACGGGCUCAGGCUUCACCAACAAUAUCACGUGUAAAUUUAUGAUGGCCUUUAGCACUAUGUGGAUGUAAUAAGAGAUGGUUUGUCCGGAUCUCCAAAAAUCAAAAUUAACAACUUUGUUUUUUUUUUGUGAUGUGCUAAGCCAGACAAGAAAACGACAACUUGCUCUUCCACACUCACAUAGUUCCCAUCAUACAACCCACCCAAUUCUAGUAGUAAAUUUCACAAUCUACCAAAAUUAUUUAGAUCCAUUCUUAAAUUAAUAAUGCAGUCUGUAUCACUAACACAUGUUAGCCUAUUCAAGUGCUUAACCUGAUCGGGGAUCCGGCUAAGCAUUAAAUAUUUUUCAACUUCUAGACUUCGCUUUUUUUCUUUGCGACGUUUAUAUCUAAUUAUACCAUCUAGCGCAAUUAUGAGUUGGAGUUUCUGCCGUUGUCUAUCAAAUACACACAAGCAUUAACUUUUCUCGUCACCGGUAUCGCAACUUUUGUCUAUAUAGUGCAAAUAUGUGAGACACUGCAUUUCAUAACGCAUAGCUUACAUACGUUAUACGAGAGAGAAAUAUAUAGGCAAUGCUCAUAUAAGUCCAAAUGCGAAGAACGAUGAAGCACAUAUGCACAUUCAAACAGCACAAACUAAAAUACCUCCUGAACCCAGAUACGAUUUGACAACGAAUAUAAAUUACCAACAUUCAAAAACAGAUGCAGUCAUGUACACAACACAUUCCAUCGACUAGGCCCAAUUAACCAUUACAAAUGAAUAUGAAUUAUCAACAUUCAGAACCAAUUGCAUAUUUGUAGACAGCAACUCUCAUAUAGAUGGCUAGAUGUGACUGAAAAUUUUUAAAAACACAAACACACUAACAAAGCAAUUAUAACAGAGGAGAACACAGGACAUCUAAUGCACAGAUUGAAUUUCAUGCCCCAACAAAAAAUUGUGAAGCACAUAGGCAUCGGAAUAGGAAUUAUAUAAGAUCAUAAAUUUCGCAACAAAGACUCUUUCAAUUCAACAAAAGCUGACAUGAAAAUUAAACACCAGCUACGGAAAUUAGAAAAUACCUCUAUUGUGUUUAAUCGAGUGAAUGACUACUGCAACCAUUUUUCACCAAAGCCCAUUCCAGAUUCUGAAAGAAAUCACAAGUUUUGGAUCGAUACAUCGAAUUCGCAUUUUAACAUACAUGAUCAGAAAAUAAAACAUUACUUUAGCAACAAUCGAAUUGGCGAAUCUACAAUACAACGUGAUAUUGUGUGAUGAGAAAUUGAUUUCAUGAGUUAGAUCGAUGAUUACCUUGUCGAGUCUCGCGUUUCCAAGAGUAAAUUCACCACACCUUGCUAUGGAACCCUAAUGUGAGAGACAUAUAUUUUCAGCUUGCUCGAUUUUGAAUCAAAAAAAUAGAGGGUAGUUUUGGAACCGUAAAUUCUAAUUGAAAUCACUGUAGAAGCCAAGAAAACUAAUAUGGGAGUCUUGGUCUCAUCCAAAUUCAGGCUCAAACAGUGAAAUUUGAUCGGGCUUCCGCCUUUUCUUCGGCUACCCCCAAAACGGAUAUAGGGUACUUCUAACCUACCAAACUUGCCCUUAAUAUAUAGCUUGGCGGUUACUUAAGGGCAAUUGUCCCAAAUAGAGUCAUGGAAGAAGAUGAUUAUGAAAAUCUUCCAGAAAAAAAUAUUUUGGCUCUGAUGGACCGCUGAAGAAAAUAAUUUAUUUAUCCAUGCUUAUUGUUAAUAAUAGUUGAAUAUAGGUUUGGAUUCUAAAAUCUUAAGCUCCACGUGAUGUAUUUCAGGGUGCUAUUAUGUUGUUCAGGACACUGAGAUUUAUUCUCGGCUUAAAUCCUCGCAUGUAGCUCAUACUAGACAAUUUGUUCCAAUGAAUGGGACUUUUAUUUUCAACGACAUGGAUCACAAAUCACAGCAGUUGUUGCUUUAAUCUCGAAAGAGC
rnacentral:lncRNA from 1 species